GAUGAACGCUGGCGGCGUGCUUAACACAUGCAAGUCGAGCGAGUGAGUUCUUCGGAACGAUCUAGCGGCGGACGGGGGAGUAACACGUUGGCAACCUGCCUCAUAGAGGGGAAUAGCCUCCCGAAAGGGAGAUUAAUAUCGCAUAAAAUUAUCGAGUGGCAUCACAUGAUAAUCAAAGGAGUAAUCCGCUAUGAGAGGGGCCCGCGGCGCAUUAGCUAGUUGGUGAGGUAACGGCUCACCAAGGCGACGAUGCUUAGCCGACCUGAGAGGGUGAUCGGCCACAUUGGGACUGAGACACGGCCCAGACUCCUACGGGAGGCAGCAGUGGGGAAUAUUGCACAAUGGGGGAAACCCUGAUGCAGCAACGCCGCGUGAGUGAUGAAGGUCUUCGGAUUGUAAAGCUCUGUCUUUGGGGACGAUAAUGACGGUACCCAAGGAGGAAGCCACGGCUAACUACGUGCCAGCCGCCGCUGUAA
rnacentral:rRNA from 1 species